rnacentral:rRNA from 1 species
UACGUAGGGGGCAAGCGUUUGUUCGGAAUUACUGGGCGUAAAGGGCGCGUAGGCGGCACGGCAAGUCAGGAGUGAAAAGGCCUGGGCUCAACCUGGGAAUUGCUUUUGAAACUGCCGAGCUAGAGUGCGGAAGGGGCAACUGGAAUUCCCAGUGUAGCGGUGAAAUGCGCAGAUAUCAGGAGGAACACCCGUGGCGAAAGCGGCUCUCUGGGACGGUACUGACGCUGAGACGCGAAAGCGUGGGGAGCAAACAGG